CCCAGGCAAAGGUUUUUAUCUUUUGUUCAAACUGGGAUCCCACUUUUAAGACUCCUGAAAAUAGCCCUUGCACCCUUCCUAAGAGAAUAACUAAAACUUUCAACAACUUUUUCGUUGGUGGCCAUCAAGUGCCUCUGGAACCAGGUGAAGGGAGAUAAGAGUGCAGAA